rnacentral:rRNA from 1 species
CGGGUGAGUAACACGUGGAUAACCUACCAUAAGACUGGGAUAACUUCGGGAAACCGGAGCUAAUACCGGAUAAUAUUUUGAACCGCAUGGUUCAAAAGUGAAAGACGGUCUUGCUGUCACUUAUAGAUGGAUCCGCGCUGCAUUAGCUAGUUGGUAAGGUAACGGCUUACCAAGGCAACGAUGCAUAGCCGACCUGAGAGGGUGAUCGGCCACACUGGAACUGAGACACGGUCCAG